rnacentral:rRNA from 1 species
AUUGACGAUGGAUCACCAGUGAGUGGCGGACGGGUGAGUAACACGUAGGUAACCUGCCCCGGAGCGGGGGAUAACAUUUGGAAACAGAUGCUAAUACCGCAUAACAACAAAAGCCACAUGGCUUUUGUUUGAAAGAUGGCUUUGGCUAUCACUCUGGGAUGGACCUGCGGUGCAUUAGCUAGUUGGUAAGGUAACGGCUUACCAAGGCGAUGAUGCAUAGCCGAGUUGAGAGACUGAUCGGCCACAAUGGAACUGAGACACGGUCCAUACUCCUACGGGAGGCAGCAGUAGGGAAUCUUCCACAAUGGGCGCAAGCCUGAUGGAGCAACACCGCGUGAGUGAAGAAGGGUUUCGGCUCGUAAAGCUCUGUUGUUGGAGAAGAACGUGCGUGAGAGUAACUGUUCACGCAGUGACGGUAUCCAACCAGAAAGUCACGGCUAACUACGUGCCAGCAGCCGCGGUAAUACGUAGGUGGCAAGCGUUAUCCGGAUUUAUUGGGCGUAAAGCGAGCGCAGGCGGUUGCUUAGGUCUGAUGUGAAAGCCUUCGGCUUAACCGAAGAAGUGCAUCGGAAACCGGGCAACUUGAGUGCAGAAGAGGACAGUGGAACUCCAUGUGUAGCGGUGGAAUGCGUAGAUAUAUGGAAAGAACACCAGUGGCGAAAGCGGCUGUCUGG